rnacentral:ncRNA from 1 species
GGAACAAUGAAUUUCUCUUUUGGUAUAAUCCCGGGAAUCGGUCCGGGAGUUUCUACGAGAUCACCGUAAAUGAUCCGCCUACGAGGAGAGGAAAAACAACA